GUGAGGAAUAUUGGUCAAUGGGCGAGAGCCUGAACCAGCCAAGUCGCGUGAAGGAAGAAGGAUCUAUGGUUCGUAAACUUCUUUUGCAGGGGAAUAAAGUGCGGGACGUGUCCUGUUUUGUAUGUACCCUGAGAAUAAGGAUCGGCUAACUCCGUGCCAGCAGCCGCGGUAAUACGGAGGAUCCGAGCGUUAUCCGGAUUUAUUGGGUUUAAAGGGUGCGUAGGUGGUUUGAUAAGUCAGCGGUGAAAGUUUGCAGCUUAACUGUAAAAAUGCCGUUGAAACUGGCGGACUUGAGUGUAAAUGAGGUAGGCGGAAUGCGUGGUGUAGCGGUGAAAUGCAUAGAUAUCACGCAGAACUCCGAUUGCGAAGGCAGCUUACUAAGCUACAACUGACACUGAAGCACGAAAGCGUGGGGAUCAAACAGGAUUAGAAACCCCGGUAGUCC
rnacentral:rRNA from 1 species